UCAAACCUGACUUGAAAUCUGAACUUGGUAUAGUGUUCAGUGACGGCUUUGGGGCCAAAAAUCCGUCAGCUCCUGGCGUCCCUGGAAUGUGCUCUCUGCUUAAUUGCUUGGCUGCAGGGUUAUUAUUAGCAACGAAGACUCAGCUCGCAGCGCAGCAAACUGGGGACGUGGGCUCCACACUGCGUGCGUCACGAGGCGUCUCCGGAGAUGCCCUUUGAGACGGGCUUUGAUGCGGGCAGAGACUUCCGGAAAGGCAAGUGGGCACCACUGUGCCAGCUCCGCCUCAGAGGGGGCGACGCCGCUCCUCUGUCCUCAGCCACCUCUAAAGUCUGCAGGCGGCCCAAGGGGAGCGGAAGUGCUGGCCAGGGCCCCAGAACUUGCCCGCCUCCUUUGAUAGAGGUCAGCUUUCCUCCUCCACAGGGAAGCACCAUGGGGCCUACGUGGCAUUUGCCCAGCUUCUUCUGUUAGCUUGGACUUUUGCUCGGGUGGAGGAGCAAGGAGAAGGAUUCUACGAUGAAGAUCUGUGCUGGGAAGGCCCAGAGGUCAGCGUUGAAAGCCAGAAAGUCCACACCAGCGGGGUGAAGGAGCUGUGCUAGUGGGAUGAGGGUUCUACACUGGAACCAAGAAGUCACAUUCACAACAAAGACCAGGGCUGUCCUGAAAGGCACCACAGCCAUCCUCAGCGACAUGGAGACCCAGAGCUCCUCUGACGAUAAGCACAGAGGAGUACUUGCCAGGAAGCCAGCGUGACGAGUUCAUCCUGGAGACCAAGUGGCACAUGUCUUCCCUUCCGGAGCCAGGAAGCAAUGCUUGACGUGAGAACCAGAGCAUCUCCAGGAGAACCACCGGCUCAAACAGCAACAUGUGGGAGAACCCACAGUGCCUCAACACAACAACGCAUUAACGCCUCAACACCUCCCUUCUUCUCCGCCUGUUUAUGCUGGCAACUUUCCUCAGGUGGAGCAUCUUCGCUCAGUGCCAUGCUGAUGUAAUCCAGCUGGCGUUAAGUUGACCACCACUUCUUAAUCCAUAACAUUUCAAUAAGUGCAGAGCAAGCUUUUGAACUGGGGAUUUAGCUCAGCAGCACAAGUGCCUGCCUUGCAAGUACGCAGCCGUGAGUUCGAUCUCCAGUACUGAUAAAAAAAAAAAAAAAAAAGAAAGAAAGAAAGAAAAAGCUUUUGACAAAGUCCAGCACCCAUGCAUGAUUUAAAAAAAAAAAAAAACCCCUACGGAAAACUGGAAUAGAUGGUCUUCAUCUCAAUCUGAUAAAAGCCAACUAUGAUAAACGGACAGCCAACAGUGUACUAAGUGGACAAAAACUGAAAGCUUUCUCUCUAAAAUCAGGAACAAGGCAAGGAUGUCACUGUCUCUGCUCUUAUUCAACAUAGUCCUGGAAACUUUAGCUGGGGCAAUUAGACAAGAAAAUGGAAUAAAGAGAGAAAAGGAAGAAGUUAAAUUAUCAUUAUUUGCAGAUGACAUGUACUUACAUAGAAGGACCCAAAAACUCCACUAAAGGGGGCUGGGGAUUUAGCUCAGUGGCAUAAGCGCCUGCCUUGCAAGCAGGCGGUCAUGAGUUCGAUCCCUGGUACCGAUAAAAAUGAAAAAGACAAAAAAAAAAAAAAAAAAAACCCACUAAAAAACUACUAGUUGUAAUCAGCAGUUUCACUAGCAUAACUGGAUACAAAGUUAACACUCAAAAAUCAAUAGCCUUCCUGUACUCCAAUGAGAAACCCACCGAGAAAGAAAUCAGGGAGACAACAUCUUUUACAAUAGCAUCCAAAAAAAAAAAAAAAAAAUACCUA